rnacentral:rRNA from 1 species
GGCGAACGCUGGCGGCGUGGAUUAGGCAUGCAAGUCGAACGGUAUCAUCCUUUCGGGGGUGAGAGAGUGGCGAACUGGUGAGUAACACGUAGGUUAUCUACCCUCAAGACGGGGACAACCCAGGGAAACUUGGGCUAAUACCGGAUGUGAGCAACUUUUAGUUGUUUGAAAGGUGGCGUAAGCUGUCGCUUGGGGAUGAGCCUGCGUCCUAUUAGUUAGUUGGUGAGGUAACGGCUCACCUAGGCAAUGAUAGGUAGGCGGCCUUAACGGGUGGUCGCCCACACUGGGAUUGAGAUACGGCCCAGACUCCUACGGGAGGCAGCAGUCGAGAAUAGUCUACAAUGGUCGGAAGACUGAUAGUGCGACGCCGCGUGAACGAUGAAUCCCUUCGGGUGUAAAGUUCUUUUAUAUGUGAGCAGUGCUUCUUAUAUUAACAGUAUGGGGAGAGAGAUAUUAGCAUAUGAAUAAGCAACGGCUAACUCCGUGCCAGCAGCCGCGGUAAACUCG